rnacentral:rRNA from 1 species
GAUGAACGCUGGCGGCGUGCUUAACACAUGCAAGUCGAACGAAGCACUUUACUUUGAUUCCUUCGGGUUGAUUAGUACUGUGACUGAGUGGCGGACGGGUGAGUAACGCGUGGGUAACCUGCCCCAUACAGGGGGAUAACAGAUAGAAAUGUCUGCUAAUACCGCAUAAGACCACAGCGCCGCAUGGUGCAGGGGUAAAAACUCCGGUGGUAUGGGAUGGACCCGCGUCUGAUUAGCUGGUUGGUGAGGUAAAGGCUCACCAAGGCGACGAUCAGUAGCCGACCUGAGAGGGUGACCGGCCACAUUGGGACUGAGACACGGCCCAA